rnacentral:rRNA from 1 species
UACGGAGGGCGCGAGCGUUGUUCGGAAUUACUGGGCGUAAAGCGCAUGUAGGCGGCCUGACAAGUCGAAUGUGAAAUCCCGGAGCUCAACUCCGGAACUGCAUACGAUACUGCCAGGCUCGAGUCUCGGAGAGGAUGGCGGAAUUUCCGGUGUAGAGGUGAAAUUCGUAGAUAUCGGAAGGAACACCAGUGGCGAAGGCGGCCGUCUGGACGAUGACUGACGCUGAGAUGCGAAAGCGUGGGGAGCAAACAGG